rnacentral:rRNA from 1 species
GACGGGGGGGGCAAGUGUUCUUCGGAAUGACUGGGCGUAAAGCGCACGUAGGCGGAUCGUUAAGUCGGGGGUGAAAUCCUGGAGCUCAACUCCAGAACUGCCUUCGAUACUGGCGAUCUUGAGUCCGGAAGAGGUGAGUGGAACUCCUAGCGUAGAGGUGGAAUUCGUAGAUAUCAGGAGGAACAUCAAUGGCGAAGGCAGCUCGCUGGGACGGUACUGACGCUGAGACGCGAAAGCGUGGGGAGCAAACAGG